GAUAAACGCUGGCGGCGCACAUAAGACAUGCAAGUUGAACGGACUUAAUCGAAAUAUUUCUAUUUUGAAGCGGUUAGUGGCGGACUGGUGAGUAACGCGUAAGGAACCUGCCUAUUAGAGGGGAAUAACAGUGAGAAAUCAUUGCUAAUACCGCAUAUGCCAUAGAUAUCACAUGAUAACAGUGGGAAAGGAGCAAUCCGCUAAUAGAUGGCCUUGCGUCUGAUUAGAUAGUUGGUGGGGUAACGGCCUACCAAGUCGACGAUCAGUAGCCGGACUGAGAGGUUGAACGGCCACAUUGGGACUGAGAUACGGCCCAGACUCCUACGGGAGGCAGCAGUCGGGAAUAUUGCGCAAUGGAGGAAACUCGGACGCAGUGACGCCGCGUAUAGGAAGAAGGUUUUCGGAUUGUAAACUAUUGUCGUUAGGGAAGAGAAAGGUCAGUACCUAAGGAGGAAGCUCCGGCUAACUACGUG
rnacentral:rRNA from 1 species